rnacentral:rRNA from 1 species
CAGUCGCCACGGUAAUACGUAGGGUGCAAGCGUUAAUCGGAAUUACUGGGCGUAAAGCGUGCGCAGGCGGUUAUAUAAGACAGAUGUGAAAUCCCCGGGCUCAACCUGGGAACUGCAUUUGUGACUGUAUAGCUAGAGUACGGCAGAGGGGGAUGGAAUUCCGCGUGUAGCAGUGAAAUGCGUAGAGAUGUGGAGGAACACCGAUGGCGAAGGCAGCCCCCUGGGCCAAUACUGACGCUCAUGCACGAAAGCGUGGGGAGCAAACAGGAUUAGAUACCCGCGUAGUCCCUGUCUCUUAUAC